UGUCUGCUUAGAGAUGGUAGUCCUCAUACAUAUGGCUGUUUGUUACAAGUGAUUAUUUGAGCAACUGUUGCCUGUCAUCUUGAACAGGUCUGAUCAUUCUCUUCUGACAUCAUCAAAGCAUUUUCAUCCUCACAAAUGCUGCUCGCUGGAUAUGUCCCCCUUUUUCAGACCAUUCCGUGUGAACCUGAAAGAUGCUUGUGCUAAUCAGUAGAUCAGCACUUUCUGAAAUACUCAUACUAGUCUGUCUGACAUCAACAACAAUACCAGCUGGGCUCAGACUGUGGGCAAACUAAACGGACAUUACCUGCACAGCACCAGGCAGUUACAGAGGAAAUCAGCUGACCUGUGUGGUUUGAACUCUGGUUACAGUAUAUUCCUGUUUCUUUCGGAGUGUGAGAAUGUGGGAGUGUGGGAAUGAAUAUUCACUGAGAUCGCUGAGGGGGACUGAUGACCUUAACCACACCUGCAAUGACAGACCGGCAUAUUAUUCUUUUCACAUUCUUGUUUUACAUAUAAUGUCAUAUUGUUGACAAGUGUUUAUUUGUUGUCGAUUGAAGUUGAAAACUGUGAGAAAGUUUUGGAUUGGAUCUGAAAGCUUAAUUCUCUGUGACGCAUGUCAUAAUUGUGGGUCUGAUCAUAACUUGAUCAAAUGUCAUCUGUCUGCUGUAUGGUGAUACCUAUAUUAUCUGAUUCAUAAAGGGAGUACAAAGGUUUCUGAUACCUUAGCACUAUAUAAAAUCAGUAACACAAUAUAUGAAAACCUACCAUGUGAAAAAAUAAGACAAAAAAAACACAUUUCCUUUGUUAGGAAAAGAAAAUCAAAAUGAAACUCUUUGCUGCAAAACAAUAGAGACUAAAGCAGCUUUUACAGGUGAUUACCUUUGUACUUCCUGUGUUUGCAAAAUUCAAAAGCGAAACAACACCACCGUAAAAUGUCAGAGUUCAUGGCUUAUAUUUUUGUGCAGCAAUUGCUGCCAAUAAUACAACAUUAUUAGUUUAGUGAACAAGUUUGUAUGGCAACUUAGCAAGUAUCAUUUUAAAAAUUAUUAAACUUUCUGUUGGAAAAUGAAACGUACUACUUAAAAUGCCUUG